GAUGAAGAACGUAGCGAAAUGCGAUAAGUAAUGCGAAUUGCAGAAUUCAGUAAGUCAUCGAAUCUUUGAACGCACAUUGCGCCCUGUGGUAUUCCGCAGGGCAUGCCUGUUCGAGCGUCAUUUCAACCCUCAAGCUCUGCUUGGUGUUGGGCCCUGCCCGCUGCGGCCGGCCCUAAAGACAGUGGCGGUGCCGCCUGGCCCUGAGCGUAGUACAUCUCUCGCUCCAGUGCCCGGUGGUAGCCUGCCAGAACCCCAACUCUCGUGGUUGACCUCGGAUCAGGUAGGGAUACCCGCUGAACUUAAGCAUAUCAAUAAGCGGAGGA
rnacentral:misc_RNA from 1 species